rnacentral:sRNA from 1 species
UGUGUAGAUUAGGGGACCACUUAUAGGCAUCUCUUCUCUUUUUCUUUCAGGUAAGUCCCAGGGAUCCAGCUCAGGGUGUCCGUCUUGUUGAGCCAUCUCUCACAGCUCUAAGUUUGUAAUUUUAAUUGAACAAUCUCAUCUCUUUCAUCUUAGAAAAGUCAUUAAAUCACUUAAGAAACUUAGAGGAUUAUAGAUUUAUAAGCAGACAAUUUACUCUAGUAAGACACUGUGACAUUUGAGGCCAUGUUCUGCCAUUCACCCUGGCAUUCAACUUCUGGCAGGAGAGAGAGGAAGCUUGGCUUUCCCGUGGGCAUCAGGUAGCCUGUUUUGAAGAAAACGUCUUUCCGCGGGAGUGUUCCCGCACUCUGGGAAAGCCAUCUGCUAAAGUUAUCAAGGUGUGGAAAACACCCCCACGCUGAACUAGGAUUCAACCUCGACUCGGCAUCUGGAAGCUUCCCACUAAGUCUGUUAGUUCAGUAACAAGCCGCAGGCAUUUGCUGCCCAACAGGUGCAAACCAGCUCCGGGGAGCCACGGAGAAGAACUUGGUCCAUGCUUCUCAGCCCAGGACACUGGGGUGUGUUUACACAGUUAGGUACCGGUGGUCACGGCUUAUUUCUGAGGGAUAAAAGAACAAGUGGGAGACAUAAAUAAAGAGCAUGUUGACAUGA